rnacentral:rRNA from 1 species
GACAGAGGAUGCAAGCGUUAUCCGGAAUGAUUGGGCGUAAAGCGUCUGCAGGUGGCAGUUCAAGUCUGCUGUCAAAGACCGGGGCUUAACUUCGGAAAGGCAGUGGAAACUGAACAGCUAGAGUAUGGUAGGGGCAGAGGGAAUUCCUGGUGUAGCGGUGAAAUGCGUAGAGAUCAGGAAGAACAUCGGUGGCGAAGGCGCUCUGCUGGACCAUAACUGACACUCAGGGACGAAAGCUAGGGGGAGCGAAUGGG